rnacentral:rRNA from 1 species
ACGAACGCUGGCGGCACGCUUAACACAUGCAAGUCGAACGAGAGAAGAGGAGCUUGCUUUUCUGAUCUAGUGGCGGACGGGUGAGUAACACGUGAGCAAUCUGCCUUUCAGAGGGGGAUACCGAUUGGAAACGAUCGUUAAUACCGCAUAACAUAAUUGAACCGCAUGAUUUGAUUAUCAAAGAUUUAUCGCUGAAAGAUGAGCUCGCGUCUGAUUAGCUAGUUGGUAAGGUAACGGCUUACCAAGGCGACGAUCAGUAGCCGGACUGAGAGGUUGAUCGGCCACAUUGGGACUGAGACACGGCCCAGACUCCUACGGGAGGCAGCAGUGGGGAAUAUUGCACAAUGGAGGAAACUCUGAUGCAGCGAUGCCGCGUGAGGGAAGAAGGUUUUAGGAUUGUAAACCUCUGUCUUCAGGGACGAAAAAAGACGGUACCUGAGGAGGAAGCUCCGGCUAACUACGUGCCAGCAGCCGCGGUAAUACGUAGGGAGCGAGCGUUGUCCGGAAUUACUGGGUGUAAAGGGAGCGUAGGCGGGAUCGCAAGUCAGAUGUGAAAACUAUGGGCUUAACCCAUAAACUGCAUUUGAAACUGUGGUUCUUGAGUGAAGUAGAGGUAAGCGGAAUUCCUAGUGUAGCGGUGAAAUGCGUAGAUAUUAGGAGGAACACCAGUGGCGAAGGCGGCUUACUGGGCUUUAACUGACGCUGAGGCUCGAAAGCGUGGGGAGCAAACAGGAUUAGAUACCCUGGUAGUCCACGCCGUAAACGAUGAUUACUAGGUGUGGGGGGACUGACCCCUUCCGUGCCGCAGCAAACGCAAUAAGUAAUCCACCUGGGGAGUACGACCGCAAGGUUGAAACUCAAAGGAAUUGACGGGGGCCCGCACAAGCAGUGGAGUAUGUGGAUUAAUUCGAAGCAACGCGAAGAACCUUACCAGGUCUUGACAUCGUAUGCAUAGCUCAGAGAUGAGUGAAAUCUCUUCGGAGACAUAUAGACAGGUGGUGCAUGGUUGUCGUCAGCUCGUGUCGUGAGAUGUUGGGUUAAGUCCCGCAACGAGCGCAACCCUUACUGUUAGUUGCUACGCAAGAGCACUCUAGCAGGACUGCCGUUGACAAAACGGAGGAAGGUGGGGAUGACGUCAAAUCAUCAUGCCCCUUAUGACCUGGGCCUCACACGUACUACAAUGGCUGUCAACAGAGGGAUGCAAAGCCGCGAGGUGGAGCGAACCCCUAAAAGCAGUCUUAGUUCGGAUUGUAGGCUGCAACCCGCCUACAUGAAGUCGGAAUUGCUAGUAAUCGCAGAUCAGCAUGCUGCGGUGAAUACGUUCCCGGGCCUUGUACACACCGCCCGUCACGCCAUGGGAGUCGGUAACACCCGAAGCCUGUAGUCUAACCGCAAGGAGGACGCAGUCGAAGGUGGGAUUGAUGACUGGGGUG